rnacentral:rRNA from 1 species
AUUGAACGCUGGCGGCAUGCGUAACACAUGCAAGUCGAACGGUGGGUAGUGCUUGCACUGCCCAUAGUGGCGGACGGGUGAGUAAUACGUAGGAAUCUGUCUUAGAGAGGGGGAUAACCAGGGGAAACUUUGGCUAAAACCGCAUAAACUCGCGAGAGAAAAGCAGGGGACUGUAAAAGGCCUUGCGCUUUAAGGUGAGCCUACGUCAGGUUAGCUAGUUGGUGGGGUAAAGGCCUACCAAGGCGAUGAUCUGUAGCUGGUCUGAGAGGACGGACAGCCACACUGGGAAUGAGACACGGCCCAGACUCCUACGGGAGGCAGCAGUGGGAAUAUUGGACAAUGGGGGCAACCCUGAUCCAGCGAUGCCGCGUGUGUGAAGAAGGCCUGCGGGUUGUAAAGCACUUUCAGUUGGGAAGAGAAGCGACCUGUGAAUAAUGGGUUGUGGAGACGUUACUAACAAAAGAAGCACCGGCUAACUCUGUGCCAGCCGCCGCCGUAAGAC